UACGGAGGGUGCAAGCGUUAUCCGGAUUCACUGGGUUUAAAGGGCUCGUAGGUGGCCAACUAAGUCAGACGUGAAAUCCCUCAGCUUAACUGGGGAACUGCGUCUGAUACUGGAUGGCUUGAGUUUGGGAGAGGGAUGCGGAAUUCCAGGUGUAGCGGUGAAAUGCGUAGAUAUCUGGAGGAACACCGGUGGCGAAGGCGGCAUCCUGGACCAACACUGACACUGAUGAGCGAAAGCCAGGGGAGCAAACGGG
rnacentral:rRNA from 1 species